rnacentral:lncRNA from 1 species
UAAUUUACAUCAAUCCUUCAUUAUUCCUCCUUGCUUCCGGUAAAGCAUUUGUUGACAUAGUGAUAGUGAAUCUCCCUGUAAGUAACAUUUCAUAUAGAAGCAGUGAAUGAUAGCUAAGACAGAAGAGAGAAGAGGGACCAGAGUAGAGUUCAGGCUCUUGGCACAUAGGUAGCAGAAUUUUCCUAGGAUGCAGUUUUGUAUACUGAGUCACCAAAUCAUUUCAGAAAGGGAAGAGUGCAUGAGAAGCAAACAUCAGAGAAACUGAUGCCAAGGAGACAGGAAAAGAAGAAGUUGAUACUAGAAUUUCCUCAGUUGAAUGGAAGAUGGAUGAGGUUAAAAGGGAGACAAGGACCAAGAGACAAUCAUGCCUGUGUCUCUGUAUAUAUUUCUGAAGAAUACCCAUGAAGCCUUCCCAUUUCUCCUUGAAAAACAAUGUUCCAUCUGGUUUCACUUCCACAAAACUGUUUCAAGGAGAGGCAGAAAUCACAAGUUUGUAUGGAUGAUUUAUUUUGUUGUUUUAUUUGCUUUAAAGCAACCAUGCAUGAUGGGAAAUGUAGGUAUCAUUUCUUCAGCACACAAGAAGGAAACCUUAUCUCUUCUUGGCAUGAAGUACUGUGAAAAUGCUCAGGGAUCAUUGCAGAAGACCUGGGAGCCAUGGAAGAUCACAUGGAAGGAGAUCAUUCCAAACAAAACAUUUCAGUUGAACAUGGAGAGAGAAGUUGGGCCAACAUUCCAACUGUAG